AGAUGGACCCGCGUCUGAUUAGCUUGUAGGCGGGGUAACGGCCCACCAAGGCGACGAUCAGUAGCCGACGUGAGAGGGUGACCGGCCACAUCGGGAGUGAGACACGGCCCCGACUCUUACGGGAGGCAGCAGUGGUGAAUAUUGCACAAUGGAGGAAACUCCUAUGCAGCGACGCCGCGUGAGUGAAGAAGUAGUUCGUUAUGUAAAGCUCUAUCAGCAGGGAAGAUAGCGACGGUACCUGACUAAGAAGCUCCGGCUAAAUACGUGCCAGCAGCCGCGGUAAUAAGUAUGGAGCAAGCGUUAUCCGGAUUUACUGGGUGUAAAGGGAGUGUAGGUGGCCAGGCAAGUCAGAAGUGAAAGCCCGGGGCUCAACCCCGGGACUGCUUUUGAAACUGCAGGGCUAGAGUGCAGGAGGGGCAAGUGGAAUUCUUAGUGUAGCGGUGAAAUGCGUAGAUAUUAGGAGGAACACCAGUGGCGAAGGCGGCUUGCUGGACUGUAACUGACACUGAGGCUCGAAAGCGUGGGGAGCAAACACAAGUAGAUACCCUGGUAGUCCACGCCGUAACCGACAAUACUAGGUGUCGGGGCACCAUAAGUGGUUUCGGUGCCGCAGCAAACGCAAUAAGUAUUCCACCUGGGGAGUACGUUCGCAAGAAUGAAACUCAAAGGAAUUGACGGGGACCCGCGCAAGCAGCGGAGCAUGUGGUUUAAUUCGAAGCAACGCGAAGAACCUUACCAAGUCUUGACAUCCUCUUGACCGGUCAGUAAUGUGACCUUUUCUUCGGAACAAGAGUGACAGGUGGUGCAUGGUUGUCGUCAGCUCGUGUCGUGAGAUGUUGGGUUAAGUCCCGCAACGAGCGCAACCCUCUAUCCUUAGUAGCCAGCAGUUCGGCUGGGCACUCUAGGGAGACUGCCAGGGAUAACCUGGAGGAAGGUGGGGAUGACGUCAAAUCAUCAUGCCCCUUAUGACUUGGGCUACACACGUGCUACAAUGGCGUAAACAAAGUGAAGCGAGAGUGUGAGCUUAAGCAAAUCACAAAAAUAACGUCUCAGUUCGGAUUGUAGUCUGCAACUCGACUACAUGAAGCUGGAAUCGCUAGUAAUCGCAGAUCAGAAUGCUGCGGUGAAUACGUUCCCGGGUCUUGCACU
rnacentral:rRNA from 1 species